UACGUAGGGGGCAAGCGUUGUCCGGAUUUAUUGGGCGUAAAGAGCUCGUAGGUGGUUCGGUAAGUCGGAUGUGAAAUCUCCAGGCUCAACCUGGAGGGGUCAUUCGAUACUGCCGUGACUAGAGUUCGGUAGGGGAGUGUGGAAUUCCUGGUGGAGCGGUGAAAUGCGCAGAUAUCAGGAGGAACACCCGUAGCGAAAGCGGCUCUCUGGAACGGUACUGACGCUGAGACGCGAAAGCGUGGGGAGCGAACAGG
rnacentral:rRNA from 1 species